UAAGUACAUACUUCGGUAGAGUGAAACUGCGGAUAGCUCAUUAAAUCGCCUCUAUUUUGUUUGAUAGUCCUUCCAUCUGGAUAUCCGUGGAAAAUCUAGAGCCAAUACUUGCACUGAUACCUAACAAGCCGGUUUCUUGUUAGGUGCAUUUAUUGGAUAUCCGAUCGCUCACAUUGCGAGCGUUAGGUGAUUCUAAAUGACUUUGCUGAUCGUAUGGCCUUUGUGCCGACGACAGAUCAAACAAGAUCGCGCCCUAUCAAUUUGUUGUUAGGAUAUUGUCCUAACAAGGUUGUAACGGGUGACGGGGAAUCAGGGUUUGAUUCCGGAGAGGGAGCAUGAGAUAUANCUACCACAUCUAAGGAAGGCAGCAGGCGCGCAAAUUACCCACUCCCGACACGGGGAGGUAGUGACGAGAAAUAUCGGCUCCUAUUCAAUUGGGUAGGAGACCGAAAUGGACGAAAUUCAGGUCCAUUCGUGAGUUACAAGCAGAGGGCAAGUCUGGUGCCAGCAGCCGCGGUAAUUCCAGCUCUGCACGCAUAUGCGAGAUUUGUUGCAUUUAAAAAGCUCGUAGUCGGACGGUUCCACAAUUUUGUUGAUUGGACACUGCAUGUGCUACAUAAUUUUGUCUACCUAACUAAGGAGGCAACAAAUCACUAGUGAAUUCGCGGCCGCCUGCAGGUCGAC
rnacentral:rRNA from 1 species